CGGGUGGUGGUGGUGGUGGUGGCAAAGAACAGAAACCGGGCUUCUCCCAAUAGUGACUCCUCCUAUGACACAGUUGGUGGGGAGGAGUCAAUCAGUUGCGUUAGGAGUGCCCCUAUGCCAGAGGAUAGGCCCUGCAGACACCCUUCAAACUCGGUGGCUGCAUGGUGAUCCUCUCCGAGCGGUUCCCCUCUGCUCCUCCACAGCAGGCCCGGGGCUCAGCAGUACACCGAGGCCAGUUGGCUACGGGCCUAUCAUGGCAAAAGACCAGGAUGGCCCCGGUGGUGGCUCUUCUAAACCCUGCUGUCACCCUCGGGCCUCAAUCUACUGGAGCGCCUGGUGCCUUGAGUCCCCAAUAGGCCUCCAAAGCAACCUCUGGUUCAGCCUUGGGCUGACAAGGAGAGAGGAAUGGAAGGAGUUGUCCCGUGGGCUGGCACAGAGAGUAGAGAGAACAGCAAGACCGGGGACACGGAGUCAGAGCUAGGCCCGGGGGAGGGGACCUGCAGCCCUCAGCCUCUCAGGCAACCGGGCCUCUCCAUAGCAACGGCCUGCAUGCUAGCACUCCUCCUCCUCCUCCCGCUCUCUUUCUCCUUUCUUCCCUCUCUUUCUCCUGCUUCCCCGCCCCCUCCCCAAAUCCCCCCCCUCCCCCGCCACAGGACUUGGAGAAUGGAUCACAGAAUACUGGGACCGGGAAUGCAGACUUCCUCUCUAUGAUGAGAGGUUCAGCCUCCCAGGUGCCGCGGCCGGGUAUACCCUUUUAUCCAUCACUCAGCAACAUUGCGAGGACACGCCGUGUCCCACGCUCACCCUCUGAGAUGCCAAGCCUCAGGGAGUUCGCGGCCCAGUCUGCUCCAGCCCCAGAGCCAGCCUCGCGAACGGAGUGGGGUGUGGUGGUGCCCUUAGAGGAUCCUAAAGGCCACGAGGCGCCUGGCACAUCCCAAGACGCGACUCGGCGGUGUCACCCUCCUGUCACAUCCUACUUGCUUUUCUCGCCUUCCGUGGUCCCUGGUCCCGAGCCACAAGCAGGUGUGGGAUACAGCCACUCUGCUCCAACUGGCACGGACCCCCCGCGCGCGCGGUCAAUUCGGAUGAACGCCGCCGGCUGGAGAAGGCCAGGGACCAGGGCAGAUGCAAGCCAGAGCAGCUCGCUCGCUGCCCCUGCAGCUAGCCAGCUUGGUCUUCCACAAGCAUCAAGAGACAUGGAAAUCUGUAAGUAGAGGCGUUUGUUUUACUUUAGUUUCCCAGUGUCCCCAAAGGGCUCCUGCCAUGUCUGAGCACCAAGCUUCGGGAUUUAAUCGGAAUCCAAUGGCCCACUUGUCUUUGCCCGUGCUUUCAGAAAGCAUGACCACCAGGGUACCAUAAGUUGUAUUUUGGCCAUCUUUUCAAUAAUGAAGCGGCCUUAAAGCCACCAAGUAGUUGUUUCUAUCUAGAAAAGUGUAUUUUCUCACCGGCGACCCUCAGCGUUUCUCAUGCCUCUUGCUAAGGUUGCCCAGGAUAACCGGGCCCUGAGUCACAUUCUGGCCGCGGAGGACAUGGAGCAGCUCCACAAACUUGCUGUCAUGGGGUUAAGGGAAGAGUUUGUACUUCCUGUGUGGACACUUUCCCCCUAGAAACUGAUAAGCCCCCCACCUUCCUUUUGAAUUCUUAUUUUCAGGGCAGGGAAAGCCCCUUAUAAAAGUUUCUCAACAACGGCAAUUCAUGCAACACUCAAGGAGGACAGUGAUAUUAUGUUUUUCUAAAUCACAGAAGCUUAGGUCUCUUUUCAUAACACACUUCAUUAUAGGUGGCUUCAGUACCAUCUCUACAAAAAUGUGAGCAACACAAAAUAUGCAUGAGACCUAUUACUUGGAAUCAUUUAUAGAUGACACACAGGGCCAUCUUUGGGAGAUCAGCAGAUCAGCCCAAGGGUUGCCACAAGGGCCAGUCACCGGGCUUUGCUGACUGUGAGCAAACUUCACCCCAUAAUGUUGCAGUCAGUUCAAGAACAGGAGUCUCCUGGGAGUGGAUGACUGGGUCCUGCUUUGCUAUUUGAGCGGCUAUCAGGUGUGGCUCUUGGGGCAGUGUGACCUCGUUUUAAAACCAGGAGGAGCCGAGACAUUCUGAAAUCGUUCACUCAAAUGUCUUACUUGAAUUUAGGGGGAAACAAAAAAAUUCUUUGAUCAGCAUGGAAAAAAUAAAAUAAGGUCUGCACUAUGAAA